rnacentral:lncRNA from 1 species
AUGGGCCCUGUCCCCAGCCAGGGACAUCACAAGGACCAUGACCCAGGCCCUCAGAAGCAGGAUAGACCCUGUCCCCAGCCAGGGACAUCACAAGGACCAUGACCCAGGCCCUCAGAAGAAGGGUAGGCCCUGUCCCCGUCCUUCGUUUAAAUGGAGCUGUGUGUGGAAGGCCCUGUGCCUUAAGUACCUUGAUUGCUUCCACAUGAGGUGCUAGCUUUGUUCUCCCAAAACAGUUUUUGAGUCUGCAAAGUGAGAAAAUACUUUUCUGGCAUGUUCUUGCUGUGGUCCCCUAAGAAACUUUCACAGAAUUGGAAGCCUGGAACCUUUUUCUGAGUGCCAGGGGCCCCCAGGAGUAUGCAGCCAGCAGCUUUCAGAGUCAGUGGUCAGCCUGAGCAGUCCAUCACUGCAGAGGAGAACACACUGAUUGCUGCAGGACAGGAGCCUGCUCUCAGAGCCUGCUGGCACUCUGAGUGUGUCACCAGUGGAAGCUCUAACGCCUGCAGAAGCUCCUGCCAGGAGCCAUCAGAUGAUUGCAAGAACUUUUCAAUGGUCAUGGCCCAAGGCUAGAACAAAAGCCUUUCACCCCUAAACUGCCUAACUUGAGAAGUACUUGAGAAAGACUGCUAAACUAGCUUCUGUUUCUCUUAUUUAAAUAAAGAUAUUAUGUAUCUUUAUUUAUUUAUUGAU